rfam:Myotis lucifugus cont2.6541, whole genome shotgun sequence.
GGCGGUUCUCAUGUGACACACCCCAUAAUUGGGCUCCCUCCUCUCUGGUUCCGGGUACGUCACCCAAGAACCGCA